rnacentral:rRNA from 1 species
GAUGAUUACCUUCAGUUCGGCUGGAUUAGUGACAGGUGCUGCAUGGCUGUCCUCAGCUCGUGUCGUGAGAUGUUGGGUUAAGUCCCGCAACGAGCGCAACCCUCGUCCUUAGUUGCCAUCAUUCAGUUGGGCACUCUAAGGAAACUGCCGGUGAUAAGCCGGAGGAAGGUGGGGAUGACGUCAAGUCCUCAUGGCCCUUACACGCUGGGCUACACACGUGCUACAAUGGCGGUGACAGUGGGCAGCAACCGGGCGACCGGUAGCUAAUCUCCAAAAAC